rnacentral:lncRNA from 1 species
CAUUUCUUGGGCCGCUCUCACGGCAUAUGGAGGUUCCCAGGCUAGAGGUCCAAUUGGAGCUGUAGCCACCAGCCUAUGCCAGAGCCACAGCAAUGAGGGAUCCUCGCCGCGUCUUCGACCUACACCACAGCUCACGGCAACGCCGGAUCGUUAACCCACUGAGCAAGGGCAGGGACCGGACCCGCAACCUCAUGGUUCCUAGUCGGAUUCGUUAACCACUGAGCCAUGACGGGAACUCCAAAAAUAAUUUCUAUUUUUCAAAAUAAUCUGUUGCUUUUGACUCUCACAAACUGGGACUGUGGGACAGACAUUCUUUUUUUCUUUUGGCUGCACCCACAGAAUGUAAAAGUUCCCGGGCCUGAGAUCAAACCCAAGCUGACGGAACCAGCACCACAGCAGCAACCUGAGCUACAAUAGUGACAACCCAGAAUCCUUAAUCCACUGAGCCACAUGGGGACUCUAGAGUAGGCAUCCUCUUGUUUGAAGAAAGCCAAGGCUCAGAGAGGUUAAAUGAAUUAUUCAAGAUCACACAGCCAGAAAGUAGAAGAACCCAGACUAUCAAAUUCACAAUAGCCAGGACAUGGAAACAACCCAAAUGUCCAUCGACAGAUGAUUGGAUUCGGAAGAUGUGGUAUAUAUACACAAUGGAAUACUACUCAGCCAUAAAAAAGAAUGACAUAAUGCCAUUUGCAGCAACAUGGAUGGAACUAGAGAAUCUCAUACUGAGUGAAAUAAGCCAGAAAGACAGACAAAUACCAUAUGAUAUCACUUAUAACUGGAAUCUAAUAUCCAGCACAAAUGAACAUCUCCACAGAAAAGAAAAUCAUGGACUUGGAGAAAAGACUUGUGGCUGCCUGAUGGGAGGGGGAGGGAGUGGGAGGGAUCGGGAGCUUGGGCUUAUCAGACACAACUUAGAAUAGAUUUACAAGGAGAUCCUGCUGAAUAGCAUUGAGAACUAUGUCUCCAUACUCAUGUUGCAACAGAACAAAGGGUGGGGAAGAAAUGUAAUUGUAAUGUAUACAUGUAAGGAUAACCUGACCCCCUUGCUGUACAGUGGGAAAAUAAAAAAAAAACAAAAAACACAUGGGCAUUUUGGUAUCACCAGACACUCAAAGAGCUCCAUAAGGGCAGGUAGAAGCCUGUAGAACUUUAAGGCUAUACUUCCCAAACUGGGACUCAGGAAGAUCAGAAAAUCAAUUAGCAUGUUGACUGGCAUUUCUUUUCUUUCUUUCUUUCUUUUUUUUUCUUUUUAGGGCCGCAGCCAUGGCAUAUGGAGUUCCCAGGCUAGGAGUCUAAUCCGCGCUACAACUGCCCACCUAUGCUACACCCACAGCAACACAGGAUCGGAGCCACACCUGUGACCUACACUACAGCUCACAGCAACGCCAUAUCCUUAACCCACUGAGUGAGGCCGGGGAUCAAACCUACAACCUCAUGGUUCCUAGUCAGAUUCGUUUUCUGCUGUGCCACGGCGAGAACUCCUGACUGACAUUUCUAUGUAGAUUAGAAAAUAACCUUACAUCUCACUCCAUCACAGGGUAAGGGUAAGUAAUGUUUUGCAAAAUUUUUAAUAGAGUGUGUGUGUGUGUGCGCGAGCACGUGCACGGGUGUGUGUGAGAUGUAAAAUGUUAGUUUUUUUUUUUAAACCAUGAAUCAUUGCCAAUAAUGUUUUGGAAACUCUGCUUUAAGGAACAACUUCUAGCCAAAACUCUAGCUGUUAUGGCUAAAUGCUUUUAUAUUCCCCACAGAUGUAAAAAACACAAAAAAUACUUUUGUCUUUUUUUUUUAAUGCAAUAAACAAGAUUUGGAGCUAUUUUAGUAAAGAUCCAAUUAACCAGAAUGCUCAGGGAAUUGAAUGUCCUGGUUAAUUGAAUAUCUGCAUUAAUGAGGACAAAUUAAAAAUCCUUGUCAGGAUUCAGAAUCAUAGGACUUCAUCACUCUCCUGCUGGCAGAAGCUGAGACCUAGGAGGAGGAAGUGACUUGCCAUGGGCUCUGGGGCCACGUGGGGGAAAAGCCAAGACUCAGGCCCACAAUGCACCCGCUCAAAGCUCCUGUGAGAUUGAGCUGAAUCUUGGUGAUUGUCCAUAACCCUUGAGGCUGCUUCUCAAAAUAAAAUCCCAGCUUUCAGCUUGUCUUUGCCAUUUGCUUUUUCUCAUAGAUCAGAACAAUUUGGUUUACCAAAUUCAGAGCAAACACCAUAGCACUGAAAGGUUGGCGCAGUCAAGCCUCUCUCUCUUUCUCUCUCUGAUAUAUUAGAAUUAAUAUUUCUUUGUUUUGCUCCUCUCUUGUUUCUUCACAUAUAUUAUUAGCAUUCCAGACACAAGGUGAGAACCUUUUAAAAAAUUUUUUUUUAGGAGUUCCCGUCGUGGAGCAGAAGUCAACGAAUCCGACUAGGAACCAUGAGGUUGCAGGUUCGGUCCCUGCACUUGCUCAGUGGGUUAAGGAUCCAGUGUUGCCGUGGGCUGUGGUGUAGGUCGCAGACUUGUCUCGGAUCCCUCAUUGCUGUGGCUCUGGCGUAGGCCGGUGGCUACAGCUCCGAUUAGACCCCUAGCCUGGGAAUCUCCAUGUGCCACAGGAGCGGCCCUAGAGAAGGCAAAAAGACAAAAAAAGUUGCUUGGGAGAGGCUCUUUCAUUCCUGGAACUCUCUAAACUAUCCCUAUGAACACAGUUUGCUACUAUUUCUGCAUUUGAACUAUUAUUUAAUUCAUUCUAUCAUAUAGAAAUUGAAAUGCCUAGCAAUGCCCUCCAGUGACAUGAGCUGUUCUCUGCACACAUUCGAUCUUUCAACACAUGUAUACAAGCACCUAUUAUGUGCCAGGCACUGUACCAGGCACUAGGGAUGCAGCAGGAAACAAAGCAGGGAAACCCCUGCCCUUCUAGAGUUUACUUUCUAACAAUAACAAACAGACUGUAAACAAAUCCACAAGUAAAUAUAUGAUAUGUCAGAUGGUAAUAAGUGUGAAGGGCAGAGGGGAAAGCAGACUGUAAGAGCACAGGGACUGGGGGGUGUAAUUACUGUCAUUAGUGAGGGAAGGUCUCACUAAUCAGGGUACAGUGACCUGAAGGAGUAAGAGAGUGAGGAAUGCCGCUCUCUGGGAGAAGAGAGUUCCUGGCAGAGAAAAAAAGCAAUAAGUGAACAGCAUUUGUAAAUGUUAGCCUACAAGUACUUUCCAUCAUGUACUAGUCAUUUCUAACUUGUGAAAUCCUGCUCACCCGUGACAUAGCCCUAGAGGUUAUUAGAUGCUGAUUUAGGGAUAAGUUGCCUUGGCUCAUGCCAUCCACAGCCCCAAGUGCUGGGUUCAGGGAUUCUGCAAUGAAAGAUAGAGAUGGUCCCUUGCCCUCAAAGUAGUGAGAACCAAAAAAUUACUGUUGACAAAGGACAGAGAUAUGAGGGCAAUAAGAGUGCCGCAAAGAAGGGAGGUAACUACAUAAAAGUCCAAGGGGAUUUCUAGCAGAAGAAACAGCAGACAUAAAGGCAAGAAGCCAAGGGCAGGGGGGAGGCAUUCAGGGAUCUUCAAGUUGUUUGGUAUGAUUGGAAGGUGAGUCUCAGGAAAAUGGGACAGAAUUGGGCAGAAAUGUGGGCCACCCUACUUUCUGUAAUACAAUUAAAAUCUUUCAUGGUUGCAAUGAAAAAAGCACUGUGGAGGGUAAGGGGGCUUUGAGGAGGGAGGCCCUAACAGGUUAACAGGGGCCACAGACUAAGCCUGAGCCACAGCAGUAACCAGAGCCACAGCAGUAACAUGCUGGAUCCUUAACUUACUGGGCCAACAGGGAACUCCCACAAAUUUUAAUAUUGGAAGCAGUGGAAUGAUUGAUCAUAUCUUGCUUUUAUAAAGAUUGAUUCCACUGAUACCCAGAGGAUUAAAAAAAAGGAAGGGACUGGAAGCAGGAGAAUCAAUAAAGAGGCUGAAGAGGAUGAUAGGUCCAGAAUAAUCCAGGUGAGAAAUGCAGUCGGCCCUCCUUAAGAGACGGGGCAGAAAACACAGGAAGAAUGGAAUGAAACUGACACAAACUGGUGAUGGAUUUUAUAGUGGGACACAAAAAACAAGAUCAGUGGAAAAUGGAGUUAUUCCCUCAGAGAGGAAAGAGCAAGAAGAUUAAAACUACGUUCUAUAGGCUAUUCAGAAUUCCUCAAAUAACACCAUUGCAAUAAAGACAAGGAUUAUUACUUUCACAGAUGACUACUUUAAUAUGUAGCUGUAGAACUGGCCAAUUAAUUUGGGUUGGUAGAUUCCAACUAUAGAACAUCAUAAAAUACAAGAUGAAAUAAAUAUAAAAUAAUGUAGUUAAUUCUUCAAAAGCCAUACCAGACGUGUGACUAUGAUUGCUUCCUUGGAGGCUAAAUGAAUAUUAUCCACAUGAGGAAUUCCCAUUAUGGCUCAGCAGAAACGAAUCUGAUUAGCAUCCAUUAGGAUGCAGGUUCAAUCCCUGGCCUCGCUCAGUGGGUUAAGGAUCUGUGGUGUAGGCCAGCAGCUACAGCUCCAAUUUGACUCCUAGCCUGGGAACCUCCAUAUGCUGAGGGUGCAGCCCUAAAACAAACACAAACAAAGAAUAUUAUCUAAAUGAAUACUAUCUCUUCCUUGGAAGCUACACAUUCAUUUCUACAGCGCUGCCACUACUGAAAACUACCCUGGACUUCUUUGGAGGACCUCCCUUCAUGACCCUAUCUCCAAAACUAGAAAAUCUUCAUCUUCUGGGGAAAAAUCUGAUAUUUAGAACAGAUGAAAUGUCAUUUGCUAUAAGCAGAUCAGCAGUUGCCUGGGAGAGGGUAGAUGGGGACAUGGGAUGGGAGGGAUGGAAUACAAGAAGCACAAGGAAAAUUUUGGGGGUGAUGGAUGUGCUUAUUAUCUUCAUUGUAGUGAUGGUUUCAUGACUGUACACAUACAUCAAAACUCACAAAAUAUGCUGCUUAUUGAAUGUCAAGAAUAUCUCAAUAAAGCUGUUUUUAAAAAGCUACUUAUUACAGAGAAUAAUAACUAAGACUGAUCAUCCUGCUGAGAGGUCCCCCUUUUUAUUUAGUUAAUGAAAAUAGAAUAAUUUUCUUGUGUGUCUUCCAGGCAGACUUGAUGGCAAUUCUCAACCACAGGUUAUUCUUUGUUUAACAAAAUAAAAGUAUGGCAGAUCACUGAAACAAGUGAUCUGCCCCCAUUAUAGAAUAGCCCUCAUGUGGGCGUGAAUGUCUAGAACAUAUGUUUGUAAGCUUUGCAGGCAUGCCCUGGAAUGCGAAUUGGAACCCAGUGACUUGGUA